GUGCUAGCUUCGGCAGCACAUACACUAAAAUUGGAACGAUACAGAGAGCAUGGCCCCUGCGCAAGGAUGACACAAAUUUUUUAAUUAAAAAAAACUCAACUAUUU